GAACAGUGAAAAUGGAAGUCGUUUCUUUUGCUCUGGUUCUGUUCAGUAUCCACUUUAUGGUUUUGGAAUUAGGCGAGACUGUCGGAGUGGUUAUGGUACUUUGGAGGGCUACCUGCGAUUGCCAAGUUAGCUGAACUUAGGGUUUUAUCAUUGCCCUUUAAUGGUUUUCGUGGGGAGAUACCUGGUGAAAUAUGGAGCAUGCAGAAGUUAGAGGUUCUUGAUCUG
rnacentral:misc_RNA from 1 species